rnacentral:rRNA from 1 species
CCCUUAGAUGUUCUGGGCCGCACGCGCGCUACACUGACGAUGGCAACGAGUUUUUCCUUCGCCGAAAGGUGUGGGUAAUCUUUUGAAACAUCGUCGUGCUGGGGAUAGAUCAUUGCAAUUUUUGAUCUUGAACGAGGAAUUCCUAGUAGGCGCGAGUCAUCAGCUCGCGUUGAUUACGUCCCUGCCCUUUGUACACACCGCCCGUCGCUACUACCGAUUGAAUGGUUUAGUGAGGACUCCUGAUUGGCGCCGCCGCCCCGGCAACGGAGCAGCGGACUGCCGAAAAGUUGUUCAAACUUGAUCAUUUAGAGGAAGUAAAAGUCGUAACA